UACGUUUACAACGGAAACAAUUUUUGGUAAUUUUCUUCCAAUUCGAUUCGACGAUCAACAUUGUUAUUCCCUAUAUCGUAUCUCAGAAGAGAAAUCGAAAGAUCAAUUGUCAAACAGAGGUUCGAUUCAGAUAAUCAAGUACAUACAUCGCAUAAAUUUCAACGUUUGAAAUCAACGAUACGUUUGAGCCGUAUAUCGCACGAUAUUUUACGAGUGAAACUCCUUUAACGAGCACUCGACUCGGCCGACAAAUCGUGUUCCAGCCUCGUGCUUCCACCUCUUAUUCGUAAUUUAUGAAGCAAUCAUACGUUAAAUUUUCCACUUUUAUUAUUUUCAUCGUCGAAAGCAUCAUCUUCAGAGUGAUUUGAAAAACUCGAAUUUAUAAACAUUCACUGACAGAUGCCACUCCAUUAAGAGUGAUAAAAACUAACUCGACCCAGACUCUCCUUAAUUGUAUUCAGCCGCAUAAACAAGAAGAAACAAAUCCUGGUCUAUAGGAUAUAUCUGGCACGAACAGAAAAUCAGGUAAAGAAGUUUGGAAACUUUCUUGAGCACUUCUUAGUGAGAAAAAUGACUUCCUCGAAGUUCAAAGAUUUUCUAAGAUCUUCGAAGAUCGGUGCAAAAAGUACGAGCUCCGAUCAAAGAAUAAAUAUUGCUUAUUAUUCGUAUUCGAAUCGAAAAUUGCGAAGAAAUCGCAAGUGUAUUCGUAUUUUGUUUACUGAUUUGAUUGCGUUUUCCACUUCAGAAAGAAUCGAUCGAUUUACACGAAAUUUUUACUUGAAGAGGUAAUAAAAUUCGUGGUUCUUCGAAUAGAGAUCUAGCAAAGAUUUAAAAGCUCUCAGAUAUUUCUAUCCUGGAUAGAAAGAUGUAUCGUUUGGCUGGGCAAACGAGUGGAGAUUGAGUUAGGAAAAAUUGUUUUUCACCCGAUAUGGCGGACGAAUAGUAAACGAGCGAAUAACGAGUGCUUGGAUCUGAAAUAUUGCUCUGUAAAA